rnacentral:lncRNA from 1 species
AGGGAAUUCUUGCUUGUUAGAUUCUUCCCUCAUCGUAACUGUGGCCAGGUGCCUGGAUUGAGAGGAAAGCUAAAAAAGGUGCUUACAGAAAGAUGGUACCGUCCUGGCUGUGGUGGAAGAUGGCUGGGUUGGAGAGUAAGACCAGCCCAGCAGAGAUGUGUAACAGCGAGCAGUAAGCCUGGGGGACUUGUGAGCUGUUGCCAUGGUCACUCCCCAGCGCAUCCAAGGACAAGUCCCCACAUCCGCUGCGAGACUUCAUUAGAGACCGAGCACCACGUGACCACAAGCCUCAAAUCACUUUGUAAGGACUGUGGCCCGGCCUUGUCCCAUCCUGUCGUUUGGCCCCAUGAGCAGAGCGGAGCUGACCUGUGGCCAACAGACCAACGUAUUCUUCACACUGAAAUAAAUGCACUGACACCCCAAACGCCACCGAAGGCAUCAACAGGCAAAAAUACGACAACGUGAAGGGAGAACAAUGAUGAUAUUGUUUCAGAGCAAAAACAAUAAUUUGAACAAACCACUGAUGUGAUUUUACAUACUUGUACUCAUAUUGCGUCCAGGAGUUUUGCGUUGUUUUUUGGUUUUUCCCACAUAAUACGGCUUUGUGAACAUUUUUUCCAUGUUAUUUUGUGGCCUUUGUAAUUAGCUCCAUUGCCAUGUAAAGGAAAAUAAACACGGUUGUCUUUAGGCCCCUCGGGGACUCGCAUCCACGACAGAUGACAGGACAGUAACUGGAUCACAUAAACUGUCUCUAAUUUUGAUUACAGAUCGUAAUUUGGUUACGGGGGUUUGCCACUGCUCAUGAGAAGGGCCCAGACUUUGUUUCCUUUCCCUCGAAGCACACGCAUGGACUUCUUUGCUUCUCUCUCCGCAAUGUACUCUUGGGCCAGCGCUUAUCUUCUCAGUUCAGCCAAGGACUUACCCUUCAUCAGGAGGAAGUAACAGGCGGCCUCCUACCCCACGAGGCAGGUGACCAGGGGUGCGGAUGGGGGGGGGGGGAGGCUCAGCUAGGAUCUCCC